UUCUUUUCCUACUUGUGCUUGCAUGGCACACAUGCAUAUUUGUUUAUCUUUCUUCUUUUCUUCUAUCUUUUCAUUUCUUGUUGGAACCUCUAUUUUUAGGAUUUAGAUCGCGUCUCCCAAUGAUUAGGGACACAAAAGUAUCAUAUUUCGGUACGUAGUAUACGGAAUGCAGUUUUCAGGGAUUAAGAGAAUCUGGUCAUUAUGGGCUACAGGGCUAGGGCAUUCUUGAAAUGAGGCGUUACAGCCACACGCACGUACACAUUUGUUAUAGGAAGUCAACUAUGUAGAUAUUUGUAUGGACAUUGUAUUACUCCCUAAUUGCUUAGGUUUAUCAUAGGUGUUCUAUCUUUUAAUUUCUUGUUGGAACCUCUAUUUUUUGGACUCAGAUUGUGUCUCCCAAUGAUUAGGGACACAAAAGUGUCGCAUUUCAGUACAUAGUAUCUGGAAUGCAGUUCUCAGGGGUUUAAGAGAAUCUGGUAACUAUGGGCCAGGGCAUUUUUGAAAUGAGGCAUUAUGGCCUCACGCACACAUACAUUUGUUAUAGGAAGUAAGCUAUGUAGAUAUUUGUAUGGAAAUUGUGUUACUCCCUAAUUAGUUAGCUUAAUUAUAGGUGUACUUAUAUAUAAAUACGUAACCAUUUUUACUCUUGGGAUAUACCUCAACUCUCUCUCUUUCCCUUUCUCUCUCUCUCUCUCUCUCUCUAUAUAUAUAUAUAUAUAUAUAUAUAUAUGUAUGUAUAUGUUAUAGGAAGUCAACUUUGUAGAUAUUUACAUAGACAUGAUAUUGUCAAGUUAUUUUCUGAAAAUAUAGGGGACUCUUGCUACUUUGAUGGUUUACACAAUGUUUAUUAUAAUUUCAUUGCCUUCACUAUCAAAGUACUUUUCCCAACAUAAGUGAUGGGAAGUGGUGAAUAGAGAAGGUUUUAUCUAGCUUGUUAAUCAUUUUAGCUAGGGUUGCAUUUAGUUGAGUUCCCAAUGGAAUGAGUUUGAUUGAUGCAAUGCGAUGUAACCUUUGAAAUUAAAAAAAAAAAAAAUCUUAUUUGUUUAUUUAUUUAGUUUGGAUGAUUUGAUUCAAAUGGCUUGCC
rnacentral:lncRNA from 1 species